ensembl:lncRNA
CUCAACAGUGCCACUACCUGACACAACAGCAGCAGUGAUGGGGGCAGGGGAGAAAAGGCAGAGGAGGUGAGAGGCUCAGGUUGGAGCUGUUUAGCCCACUUCAGCUAUUCCUCUCCUACUUCCCUCACACGUGCCAUGUCACAACACAGCUGCUGCAGACUCACUCCCUGAGCAGGAGAUCUUUGGGGUGCAGUGACUGAUGGUCAGGCUUGACAUGAAGAACCCAUCUCUGGGGAUGGAGAGAAAAGACAAGGACUCUCAACACCUUUGGCAAGGUGAGGAUUAAAGCCUGCCUCCCUCUUUUCACUAAUAAUCAGUAAUAGUGCACAAAUGCAGUACAAAUUCAAUUCUGGGCUGGAGGAUGUAUAGGCAACUGCUGUGCAAAAUCCAAUUCCUUGGGCUUUUGCUUUCCCGUCCUUGCUCUUCUAGCAAUCUGGAUGAUGCUGUUUUUUGGGUUGCCAGUUUUGCAGAUCUUUACUCACGAGAGUAAAUUGUUAGUUUGCCUGAGCAAUCAGAUGGAUGAUGAGGGGGAACCUCCAGAAAAGGGAAUAUUUGUGGGAUGGAACCAUGGAAGUGUACUCACAAGCGAAGGUGGCAUUGAGAGGGCUUUGGGAGUGUCCUAACUGAGUACCUCUGUGUGUUUGAUGGCAGUGAUGGUGCCACGCCAUAUGCAGCCAUUCCCAUCCCAAAGUGUUACAGGAGGUUCAAAGUACACAGAGUUUCUCCCCUUUGCUCCAGUACAAAUGGUAACAGCAAGUUGUCAUCUGAGUGACCUGAAUUCAGGGUCAGCUGACGCAAGGACUACCCUACUUGACCCUCAGCAGACGUGAAGGAGUAUUUGUAUGCCAAAGUCCCUUAAAUGCAUAGUGAGGGACAUGUUCUUCUACUACAUACACCCUGACCUGGCACCAACCAAGUAGGAGAGCUCUAUAUGACCCGAGAGAUGCGAGCAUACCCAUUUAUACCUCUCCGGUAGGUGGAAUUUCCUUAUCAGCAAGCUGGAAAAACUCAAAGCUACUGAGUGCUCUGUGCGUGGGGAGAGCAGCAAUCCACAAAGAUGGACUAAUUCCAGAGGAAGUCAAGCGAAGACUGUGUCACAACUAUUAACCCAAUUUUAAAGAUGCUCCAAACUGCUGCCAGCAUGUACUUUAUAUAAUGUGACCGAAGUUUGGACUGCUGAUCUUCAACAUCUAUACCAGUGAUAUAGAUAAUGGGAUUGAGUACAUCUUCAGCAGUUUUCUGAUGACAUCAAGCUGAGUGGUGCAGUUGAUAUGACAGAAGGAAAGGAUACCAUCCAAAGGGACCUGGACAGACUGGAGAGGUGGGCCCACAUGAGCUAAUGAACAAGGCCAAGUGUAGAGUGUUGGGUUGGAGUAAUCUCAGAUAUGUGUACGGAAUGGGAGAAGAAUUCAUUGAGAACAGCCUUGGACAGAAGGAGCUGGGAGUUAUGAUGGAUGACGAGCUGGAUAUGAGGCAGCAGUGCACACUUGUAGCCAAGAAGACCAACAGUAUCCUGGGCUACAUAAAAUAGGUGUGGCAGUGAGCAGGGAGGGGAUUGUCCCCCACUUCUCUGCUCUUGUGAGGCAUCUGUCUGGAUGGAGUACCAUGUCCACACCUGGGGCCCCCAGCAAAAGAAGGAUGAAGAUCUGUGGGAGAGGAUCCAAAAGAAGGUCACAAAGAUGUUCAGAGAGGUGGAGCACUUCUGAUACGAAGAAGGAUUAGAGUGAGAUGUGCUUAGCUUGGAGAAGAGAAGGAUCUGGGAAGACCUCAUAGAAACCUAAUACUUGAGGGGAGCUUAUAAGCAGAGGGGAGCUUAUAAGCAGAAGGGAGGUGCAAUUUUUGAUGUGAUUGGAAAGGGAGAAAUGGCUUUAAACUAAAAGAGGGGAAAUUUAAGUUGGAUGUUAGGAAGAAAUUCUUUCCUCAGAGGGUGGUGAGACCGUGGCACAGGUUGCCUGGAGAAGCUGUGGAUGCCCCAUUCCUGGAGUCAGCCAAGGCUAGGCGCCCUGAGAAGCCUGGUUUAGUGGCUGGCAACCUUUCCCAUGGCAGGGGGAUUAGAGAUUAAUGACUUUUAACCUUCCAACCUAAGCCAUUCUAUGAUCCUAUGCUUUUAUGAUUUUAUUAAGUGAAUCCAAAUGUAAAGAACAAAACUGAGGGCCUUCAUUUUGGCCUUCAGUUGAAGCCACAGUGGGGUACGCAGAUCCCUAAUUUCAUAGUAUCUCUGAUCUUCACACUUUAUAAGUAGCAUUUUAGAACACAGGCUUGAUUCAUUUUCUGAUUUAGAUCUCUACAGGAGUAUACACUGAAAAAAACAAGUACAAAGCUUGGGAGUUUCUCUUUAUGGUAUCUGUUUUCAAUGAACUGUUUAUGUUCUACACUGGGAUUAUGGCUUUAUGUGCUAUCAACUUCUUGGUCUGUUAGCCAAACCUCUCAAAGCCAUAUGAAUGUUGAGGUAUUUUUGGACUUUUGUUUUGUUUUGUUUUGUUUUGUUUUUUCCCCUGCAGAUUAUUCAGCUAUUAAUUUUUUCUUUCUUUUUUUUUUUUCCCACAUACUGUUAUGCUAAAAAAAACCAAACAAGUUGAACUCAUUGUGUUUCUUUUUAUCAUCAUCUCUUAAUUUUAGAUAAAUGUAGGCAUUAGAGAAUGAGAAAACAAGAUAUUUUGACUUGAAAACAUAAAACUUUAUGAUCAAAGCUGCUUUUUUUAGGGUAAAAUGUCACAGGGAUCUAAUUAGGAUAAAGAAUUUAAACUGUCAUUGUAAAUUGGAGUAGAGAGCUUUGUGUAUGGGCUUCAUGUAUUCAGGGCUACUUAACCUCUGCAGGAAGUGGAGAGAAGUGGUUUGCAUCAGCUGCACCGUGUACAUUGUUUUCUCCUUGGUCAUCAGAUGCCAGGAGUUACAGUAAUCCAUCCUGGAAGUGACAAACAUAUGACACCACAUGGCAUGAUCCUGUGGGAAGAAGGGUGGAAUUUCCUAUGGGUGCAAAUGCGUCAAGAAAAAGGACAUUUUUUUAAGUCUGAACACCCUUCCUGGCUGUCCCAGGUUAGUGAUGUAUGAGGCUUCUCAUCUUUUCACUAAUUUUCUUCAUUCUUACAGUUUUAUUGUAUUUUUAUUUAUUUAUUUGUUUGUUUGUUUGUUUGUUGAUUGCAGUAGGAAUCACUUCCACAUACAGAAGACCAGGAUUUUUUUUUUUUUUUAAUGUAUGUAUCUUUAAUUUAUUAAUUAGGUACAUGUUACAUUUGUUGUUUGUACCCUUGUUCCUCACAGUCCCAUAUCUGUUAGGAUAUAAUCAGAAGAAAAAAAAAAUAAACAAGGUUUACAAUGAAAAUCUGUACUUCUUUGAUGGAGGUCAUUGAUAUGGAAGCUAUCCUCUUAGAGACAGGAUUAAGGUUUUAAAGCUAGAAGGGACAUUAUUAAUUCCUGAUCUGAGAACUUCUGGACAAUCUCUUCCCCAGACUAUCU